rnacentral:tRNA from 1 species
UAGCUCAGCUGGUAGAGCAUGGUGUUUGCAACGCCAGGGUUGUGGGUUCGAUUCCCAC